UGUAAGAUGUGCAAGAGAUGGGGAGAGAAAUUGAGAGGGAACGAGAAGACAUGACAAAGGAUGUGGGAACAGAGAAAGGCAAGAAGGGUGAUGGGCGGGGGGAAGAAAAAGAGAAAAAAACCUUUAUGUUACCACUUGUUUAAUUUUGGCAGCAAACUAUGGACACAGACGUCUUGGCCUACCCUGAUUGUCCUACUGGUGGUCUCCUUUAUUCUACUUUAGACUAGGGCUUGCUCACUUGGGGUCCAUGGGCUUUAGGGCCUACAGGAAUUCCCUAAAAAUUAUAUCCCAACUCAUGAAUAUAUGGGUAGUUUUCUGGGCAGAAGGUCAUCUGUAGUUUCCAUGAAAAUGGCAAAGAACUGCCGCUCGAGCCAGACUACACCAUUAUUGAUUUGGGAAGAACUAACUUCGGAAUGUUUAAAGUACAUAUGCUAAGUCUUCAUCAAGACGAUUGCUUUCUAGAUUCAGUGCAGAGCUCCACAUGCUGUUUCUGCUGCUUCCACAGUGAUGGGCCAGGCAGACAACCGCGGAACCCCACGGGCAGAGCUGCUGUCAUUCUUACCCUGAUCCUCCUCUGCCUUCCUUGCCCCAGUGGAAGUAAGGGCACGUUAGACUCCAGAAUUAUCACUCUAGAGUGUGUGUGUCUGUUGACCAUUUCUCCAAGCUGUGGAAUGUAUCUGGAUGUACCUCUGGUCUUUUCCUUGAAUGUCAAUCACAGAGCAAGUAUGUGGAGAAAUGGGGACUGGAACCAGGGCUCCUGGUUCCCAGUUUUUUCCUACAUUGUAUCAAUGUCCUGGAAAACAAGCCCCUGGUGGUGGGGCUGAAUAAAAAGUGACUACAAAGUACUUUAAAAUGGUGAAGUGCUGGGUAAAUGUUAUUCAUGUUUUCUAUGAAUUAUUAUCCAUUACUAAUUAUGUUGAAUCCAAGAUACCGCCUAUUGUCAAGCACUUUAUUCUGAGACACUGACAGAGACCACAGACCCUCCAAAAUAAGAGGGAACCUUCCAAUUUUUCAGUCUUUAAAGUGGUUAACUGGGAUUGAUUAAAGAAGCCUGGCUGACUUUGAAAUCAGGCCCUGCCUUCUGGGUGAAGCAAACCUAGGUUUAGGGAAUGUGAAUAUGGGGUGAUCUCCUAAAACUCAAAGAUAUCAAAGGGGAGGGUGGGUUGGCGAGGCCACUUCUUAAUUUUCAGUGAUGUUAAAGGCCAAAGAAGGGGCACUUCUAAGCAAUAGAAUUGGAUAUCCAAUGGCACUUUAAGAACAAACGCAAGUCAUCCCAGGCAAGAAAUCACUUGAUUCUGUGCUUCGAGGUCCUUCAUUCUACUGUGAUAAAUGGAGAGUCCCUCUGGGGCCAUCAUUAACCAUAAGAGACAGGGCUUCCCCAGGCAUCUAGUGCCAGCUCCUCACCCAUCCUGCUCAACCCAGACUGUGGCUGGAUCAAUAGUCCAGGACAUGCCAGCCCUGGAGUCUGCUCUUUCCCUUCUGCACCAUCCUGGACCUAUUUUACCAGACUGCAUUCUCCAUGUUUCUGUUGCUGUUGAAAUAAUACUAAUACUCUUGCACAGUGAGCAGCAAAUAACUACAGCUCUGGCUUUCAGGCCAAUGACGUGUUACCAUUUUGUCACCAUGUUUUCAUGUUUGUUAUUUACAUCUUCGAAAAGCCCCAAGCCAUUGCUCAGAAAACUCAAUGAUCGUGACUCAGAGAAGUCUGUGUAACCAAAUACCACACCUGGGCACCACUCAUCAUAAAAGAGUACGGAGCAACCUCAUGGGCCAAAUUUUUACCAGAUGCCAUACAGUUUAAUCAUGCAAAAUCCCCAGAUGAUGACACAGAAUCUUAAGCUACCAAACCAUGCUGCAAACAUGGUGCCUUAUGAGCCAAGGGGACAAUAUGUUGUUUAAAGAGUCAGGGAGAAUGGGGUGCAAGCCUUGACUCAGCAAGUCUCAGCACUAGUUUCUUCCUAGAAAAUAGCUGACAACUAGAACACCUGAUUAGGGGGAUGGAAGAGGUUGCCUCACUCAUUUUCAAAAUGCAGGUUGUUUUCCUAGGAAAGGUUCCUAAACAACUUCAGAACAUGGCGAGUGAGGCCUUCUGAGGAGUUAUUUCUGGAUAUGUUUCUGGGAAUCAUAAGCUCCUCUUGGCCAUAUGUUCCUCAAGGCAGGCACAAGUUGGCUCUGCUUGUACAGCAAGCACCCUGGUGCCUAGCUCAGUGCUAUGGGCUUGAAGAGCUUCCCUUCUUGCAGUAUGAACUGAUGAGCAAAGAGGAGGAUAUCCCAGUUCUUAACACUGCCUACUGACCUCUCACCCUCUAGUUGGUGGCGAGGCACUUCCUUUGCCAGGCAUCAGAACGAAACUCCACAAAAAGGGAAACAAACCAGAGAAAUGAGUGCCUUGGCCAUUGCACUCCUCCCAAGCCAGUAGUACCAAUGCCCUGGAUGCUAGAUUCUGUAAGCCAGGGACACAUUCUAAAAGCUCAGGUCCUUUGUCAUGGCCCACAUGCCACAAGGUUGAUGCAAAGCUGAGAACCACCUAACCUAACCUCAGACCUUCCUUUUUCAUUUUGCAAAGCUGUGACUAUGGCUGGAAGAUGCAGACAGCAGGGGUGUUUCCUGGAGGAGCGGAUACGUGACUGAGGGAUGCAUACUUCGUGGGCUCUCACUGCUGGCUGCCACACAACCAUUUAGUUUCAUCCGGGCUGCUUUUGAUGAGCAUGCCAAUGGAGAUCCCAGACUAGAAAGUCACUUUCUUAUGCAGUGUGAGAAAGAUAAAGAUGUUUUUGCUAUAUGCUGGACUGACUUUCUUGCCAAGUAUGGGCAUCCUAUAUUUGCUCACUCAACAUUUACUGAAUGCCUACUAUGGCAUAUCUCUGCCAUCAAGGAACUUUUAAUCCAGAGAGAAUGGCUGGCUCAUACAAAAAAUUAUAAUAGUUGCAGGACAAGUGCUAGGCCUACUCAAAGGUCCAGUGGGGAAGAGAACAAUGACUUUUUUGGUGUGCCUUGGGGAGUGAGGGACAGCUUCACAGUAGCAGUAGUCCCGGAGUCACCAGGCAGCCCAUACUGAGGAAGCCAUCCCAGGAAGCAGGGCCGGCACACAAGCAAAGCACAGAGCCAUGAGAGCAUUCAGUGUUGAGGAAACGGUUGGGUGAAUGAUAGAAAAUGGCUAGAAACAAGGUGGGGCAAGAGGACUGGGACUUGUAAUGUUAAAACACAGUGGGUAGGUCUCACCUAUGUGUGAUGAAGAACUGUUGAAAUUGGAGCAGCAGAGGCACAAUCAGAUGACCACAUUGGAAAAAUGAUGGCUGUCAAUGUAAAGGCUGGACUUGAGGAUAUGAGAGUGGAGGCCAGGAGAUGAGUUCAAGCCCUUGGAGACAGCUUAGGGGGGUAGUGGCAGAGGAGAAGGAAAGGAUGUAAAUUGAUGGUACUUGAAGGUCAGAGAAAAGCAUGGUGUAAGAGAGAGACAGGAGUCUAAGAAAGUUCCUCUGUCCAGGCUGGUGAGAUAGAAAGUAUGGGAGCAUAGCAGGUUUGGGGUGACAAGAGAGAGAGUGAACUCUACUUCAGGUUCAGGUGAGAAUCACUACUUUGAGCCCUCCAGGUGGAGAAGUCAACUGGUGAAGCUAUGAGGCAGAAAACCACUUUCCCUGUGAGUAGCAUAUGAUGGUUGUUUUAGCCCCAGAAAAGGGUGAGGUCACUCAGAGAAAGAGCAUGGUGUGUGCAGAGAAAGUGAAGUUCCUGAGGCCAGGAUUCUCACCUGGCCCUGGUUGGCUAGCUCACUACACACAUGUGGGCAACACGUCAUUAUUGACUCUAUACAAAGAGCUCCGCCCAGGGCUCUGGGUGACACGGUGGCACAGGUGCAAGGCUGCAGGAGAGCAGAGCAGAGGCUGGAGUGGUGGCAGCGCCGAGGACAGAGAAUGAGAUGGCUGCACAGGUAGAGAGGACCAGAGGUGGAGACAGGCUUGCUGCAUGCAGACUUGCUCUGAGUGGAUGGGAUUCUUUUUUUUUUAUUUUUUAGUGGAUGGGAUUCUAGUGACUGACCUGCCACCUGGGAAUAAAGUUGGGUAUAACCCUUUCACCCCAAGAACGUUCUACUGUCAUUUCUUUGGUCACAUUGAAUCCAUAGUGAACUUGCCCAGGGCUGCAAUCCACUGGCAAGACAGUGUGAGAACAGGGAGAGCCAAGGGAGAGCCCUGGGAGUGCCAGGCUUUUAGGGGGAGGUGUGGGAAGAGGAAGAAAUUGAGGAGGAAAGGCCAAACUGUAGAUGUGUGCAGAGGGUGGGCCCCAGGGCCACUGUGUCUGUCCUUCAUGAGGCUCCUUCUAGAUCUUAUGAAGUGGUUUAUCCUCUCACGGCUGUGUUUAAUAAUAGUGCCACACUCAUCUUUUCUAUGCUCUAUGUGUCCCUGCUGCUCUUUCCCAAUGGGAUCAAGUUUCCAAUUAUGCUGAUUUCUAUUUCCCUUUUAAAGUCUGGAGAAACCAGUGCAGAGAAGCUUUGUGGUGCACACAAAGCUCACACAGAAGCUAGGCUUUCAAUUAGAACUUGAACUGCUUUUCUCAAAUGCCUGCUGCCAGAGUGGCCACGAAUGCCAUCAAGUCAACAGGCCGUGCAGCAUGUGCCCCACAAACAAGGAGGCUCCGCAAGAGGCAACAGUGGAACCAGUGUUACAGAAGGGCCCAAGAUGGGAGCUUAUGAUGCAUCUUGACUUUGAUGGAAAGAAGACGAAGGCCAACUGAGGGGUUUGGAAAACCACUGCUCACAACAUCUGGACACCAGAAGAUGAUUCCCCCAAACAGCUUCAGACUCCACCUCAUUCUGGGGGAAGAUGAGAGUACAUGCUACAAAGGAAAGAUGUGGCUGGAGGACGGGGUGUUCCCGACUAACCCAAAGAGGAAGCCACACGUUCUCUGGGAAGAGAAAAUGUAAUUUGCCUGUGCAAUAAAACAAAGCAAAUGGGGAGACACUAGAAGAUAAAGCCGCAAAGAACGUUCCAGCAAGACUGAGAAAUACAGAAUGCUAAAUCUCGUUUCCCCAUUAAAUCUCAUUUUCAUACAGUUGAAAUGAAAGCAUUCUGGUACAGGGAAAAGCACCUGGAGAGGUUUUUGUAAUAACGUGAGUCCCUGUCACUGGGGUCAGCUCUUAUUACUCCACAGUUGGCUCAGCCUUUGGGCAGAGCAAAGAUGUAUGUUUCUGCCUUCACAUUAUCACUUAAAUAUUUGGGCUUUUGAGAAGUAAAUUAGAAUGUUUCUGGCAGACUUUUAUUGCUGCAUUAAUCUUUGGUAUAGUUCAUUUGUCCUCUUUUGUCAGUUUCUAUCAUGGUGUAACUGGGUGUCAUCCAGUAGAAAAUCAAUUUUAGAUAACUGCUAUUUUACUUUAUAUUGUCAUUGUUUAUAAAAUGAGUUAGACAAGGAACCAAUGUAUACAUUUUACAGACAUCAGAAUCUUAUAAGUUUAUCUUCAAAUCAAGCAGUCCUAAAAGGAAACUUGCCCAAGUCCUCUCAUUCCAUUCUAUCAAAACCAAUGACAUCACCAUGGGAGUAAUCUGACACCCCUGGAGCAGAUGUUUAAGUCAAUUCAAGGGACUGUGGGAUCAACCCAGCUGCUUCUAACUUCCUACAUAUUGGGUUAACUUCUCCUUUCCUGCAUCAUGUUUCUUUUCAUAUCUGUUGCUCUGGCUAGUACUUAACCCUUAGGUUUGUCCAUGGAAUUUCUACCCACCUAGGGAGUAAAAAGAUGUCCAGAAAUGAAUUUAGGCAGAGCUUCAGAAUUUGAAUCAUCUUGUUUAUGGCACCAAAUAAAGAAAAUAAUUGAGUCAAGCAAGUGGCCAGGAGUGGAUUUAAGCGGUAUUUCCAUUUUCAUUUUCCAAUGUAUUUAUAAAAAUGUUCCAGUCACUGUGUUUAUGGCAGAGAGAUAGUGGAGAAACUCAGAAAGAUAGAUGGUUGAUGACAAAGCUUCCCUCUUACCCCUUUCUUUGAAAAAGAUAACCCUCAAAUUGUGACUGCUGUUAAUUUCAGCUCACAUGCCUAUCCAGAAAGUGCUUCUCCAUUUGACAGAACGUGGUGUCCAUCCUCUGUUUAACAACUCCCAGACUGCUGAAUGUGGGUACCAGAAAAGCAAUCCAAGUUUGAACCUACAAAUAGCAAGUGUUUCAUGACUGAGCAACCAAGCACCCCUCAGAACAUCAGUCCCAAGGACACAGCCAGAGUCACUGAAUAAAUCACCAGGGUAUCCUUUUAUCUCAACACUAGGAGCAACACUUGCCUAGAGAAGAUGUGGGUCAAUUUCUUGAAAGGGGCUAAUAGGAUAUUUUUAACCCUUGUCUAUUAACUCCUGAACUACAGGAAAGGUCCUCACUACUGCUGGAGCUUAAAGGCUCUUGGAUAAGAGGGCAAGGUGGCUCUUCAGUGCAAUGGCACUAAUUAGGCUAGGUAGGACCAGCUUCGGCAGAAGAUGCCUGCCAUCAGAGUCUCAACUCAGCACCAGCCAAACGCAUAACUAGUGCCAGGAUUUCUCCGAGUGUAAAACUCUGAGAUUUUGAUCAAACAACAAUAAUUUCUUGUUUAAAGUAUUGGGAGAGGGGUUAUAAAUAAUCAGAAAUGUAUUAUGUAAUCCUGACUAAUUCUUAACUUAGUUCCUUGAUAGAAGAAUGAGAACUGGAGACUGUCAGCAGUGCAGCUAGCAGAGCAAUUUACUAAGGAGGGAAUUGGUUCUUGUUUUCAUAAAAGCAUUCAAUCUAAAUGUCAAAUGUAACAAUACACAUAAAUGACCAUUCAAAAAAACCCCCACAGUUUGAGCUUAUACUGCUAAUUAGAUGAUUUUUUUGUUAAUUAAGAGAAAUUGGAUGGUUUAGGCUCUCCUGGCUUCUUAAUUAUAUUUGAUUGAAUCACCAUGUGAUUCAAGGCAAGCUAUUGAGGCUUCACACAUCCCAAUUCUGCUUCACUUCACCUUCAGUCCCUUCUCAAAUUUUGACUGUCAUAACCAGACCCUAUGGGUGUUGGAACACAGUGAUAUUGGUACUGUGUUUGUAAAAUUGAUUUACUGUGGUCUGUAAUUACACAUAACGAUUUGAAUUUUUGACUUGGCACUGCAUUUUUCAUUUAAACCGUACCGUUCUUCUAUACCCCAGAGAAACAGUAUUUAUGUAAUUGCUCUCAACUCAUCUACUUGGGUAUUAUAAAUCAGUCCUGCAAUAAAAGGCUUCCAGAGACGCUAUAGGCAUGAGGUUCUCAGCAUAAUUCAGCCCCCAGGACCGUUCUAGUUGAAGGACAGAAAUUGAACAGCAUUUAUAUCUUAUUGGACAUGAGAUGGGAGAGCGGUCUGGAGCCUUUGGGUCCUGGCAGCAAAAAGAACAGGCUGUAGGGUAAUCACGAGGGCUGGGCUGUACUAGACGGCCAGCUCAGAUCCAUAGGCCAUCUCUCUUUGCUCCUCACCUACUUCUGGGUCUCCCAUCACCUGCCAUACAAACUGUAUAGUGUGUGUAUGUGCCUUUAUUACAUGUCUUAUACAUCUUUGAUCCUCCAUCUCAUAGAUUUCCAUAUUUGUAAAUGCACCUAUUUGCUAAACUUUAUUUGUAACCUGAAAAUAAAUGCUAUCACCAUUUUCAUGGCCAUUCAUGGACAUACUCAGAGUGGCAAACAAUUGGAGUCCGUGCUGCACACGGCCCAGUUGAGGCUGAACAGGCAUUGCUCAGCCUUGCUGUGUCAGCUCUCAUACUACACAAGUGGCCUUUGAGGUCUGUUUGGUGCCACAUUUUUCUAAUUUUGGUGUUUUUCUUUGGUGAUGCUGCUGUUUAAAAUGGCCCCAAGCAUAGUGCUGAAGUGCUGGCUGAUGUUCCUAAGUGCAAGAAGGCUAUGAUGUUUCUUAUGGAGAAAAUAGACGUAUUAGAUGAGCUUUGUUCAGGCAUGAGUUAUAGUUCUGUUGACCUUGAAGUCACUGUUAAUGCAUCAAUAAUAUAUAUUGAAUAUGAUUGUUUAAUGACACAUAACACAGGUUAAUGUAUUGAUCGUCUGAGGAAAAUGUUGUGAGGCUUGCAGGAAACUAACCCUAUAUUUUCCCUGGAGCAAUGGUUCAGUAUUUGCUAAUCCAGUGUUCACAGGGACUUAUAGAACAUAACUACUGCAAAUAAUGAGAAUUGACUAUAGGUGUAUAUUGAUACAAACUCCUGAUUCCACCUCCCAUUCUGGGACAUUUUUGUCACAUUUGCCACAGCUUUGUCUAGGCUAGUGGUUCUCAACUUGACUGCACAUUUAACUCCCGCUUGGAGCCUUUAAAAAGAUCCUGAUGCCCAGGCCCCAUUCCAACCAGGUAAUUGAAAAAUCUCAGUAGUGGCAUCAGAGCAUUUGUACUUUUUGAUGUGCCUGAGUGUUUUUAAUGGCUAGCCAGGCUGAGAACCAUCUCAGGCUAUCUUCUUGCCUGAGUGUUUCCCCCAAAUCCUGUCCCAUGUCCUGGACAACACAAACCUCCCAGUUGGCUCCUGCUUCUGCCUGGUCUUAGCAAGAUGACCCCAAAGAAUGGGCAUCUUGUUUACUUUUCAAGUGGCUUUUAAACGACAGCAUACAAAUCAUCACUUCUCCCACCAAUGUCUUGUUUGCUUUGGGGUCAUGUGCAGAAUCCUGCUCAGGUUCUCCAGCCAAGGAUUUGACCACUCUCACCCAGCUCUCCAGGUACAAGAAAGGAGAUUUUGGUACCAGAAUUCCAACCUGAAUGAUAUGUGGGCAGAUAUUUCUAGAUUCCUGACACAAAUAUUUUGACUGGGCAAUAGUGCCUGCCUCUUGUUGAGGACAUAUUACUCUUGCAGGAAGACAGGGUCAUAAGUUAGUCAGAGGUCCUCUCAGAAUGUGAAUGAGCCACAGAAAGCUUGGGGUUCACUUUCUCUUAGUCUGCAGGUUCAGCUGCUGAAAGCUUAACCAAGUCAGGCUCAGCAAACACAGUGCAAGAUGCAGGGACCAGCAGCGCCGGCAUCAUCGGGGAGCUCGUUAGCAAGGCUAGACUCUCAGCCUCACCCUUGGCCUGCUGAACCAGGACCUGCCCUUUAAGAUCUCAGGAGAUUUGCAUGCACAUUCAAGAUGAAGAUGCAAUUGGCUUCACACCCAGCUUUGACUUGUUGGCUUGCCACUUGCUCUCAUGGUUGUUGGGGUGGCAUUGAGCCCAACAAAAUCGGCUUGCCAAAGUCUGGAGAAUCUGGGAUUUGGGUUGGGAGUCAUGUGACCUUUGUGUGCCUCCGUUUCCCCCCAUUAGUAGAUAACAAAGGUUUCAUCAUGGGAUUGUUAGAAAACAUAAAAUCAUUUAAUGCAUGCUAAAUGUGUUUUGCAAACUAUAAAGUGCUACAGAAAUAUUAUUAGUUGUCAGAGUAAGAAUACUUUAAUAGAAACAACACUGCUAAUGGAAAAAAUCAAGUCAAAGUACUAGCCAAUCUAAUGAAAUAUAUGGAGCAUUUUCAGGGUAUUAUGUCAGAAAGAUCUCUGACUAGUUGAUAGUGUUUCACAGAUUUACAACAGAAGAAUUUCCCACCAUGGUCUGUCAUACGAAAGAGAGUGUCACCCCUGCUCUUCCAGAACCCUCAUGUACACUCCCAAACUCUUCCCCGCCCCAGUCAGAGUCCUCCUCUGAGUCACACUCAGCUUGGUCUUGCCUUUCUUCCCACACACUUUAAGUAUUCACAUUUCAUUUCUAUUUUCUGGAGGGUCAGGGCAUGUGAAUCACCUUCUUUUCCAUUAGAUUUCAGUGCCCAGAACUCCUCCUAAGACCUCUUUGUCCUGACAUUGGUAAGCAACACUGAGUGCCUGAAGUUCUUAUUGAAAAUUCUAAGUACCUCCAUCAUAUUUAAAAAUUCAAGCUAUUAUGUGACUGGGUGACAUUGGGUUCUUCAUAUGCAGAACAAGGGGGCUGGACUAGAUGAGUUCAUUCAUUUAUUCAUCAGACAUUUGUUGAGUGCCCACCAUGUGGCAAGCUCUAAAAGCUGAAGGCACACGUUGUAAAUGCCAUUGCAGCCCAGGGGAUGAUCUCCCCACCCCUCCCUGAGUCAAUCUUCUAUGAUGCUAUUGUUAGCAUUUUAUGCAUUGCCAUUCUCAUUUGGAC